GACGAACGCUAGCGGCAGGCCUAAUACAUGCAAGUCGGACGGGAUUUGGGAGCUUGCUCCUAAUGAGAGUGGCGCACGGGUGCGUAACACGUAUGUAACCUACCUUAAUCAGGGGGAUAGCCUCUAGAAAGAGAGAUUAACACCGCAUAACAUAUUUUUAUGGCAUCGUAGAAAUAUCAAAUAUUUAUCGGAUUAAGAGGGGCAUUCGGAACAUGAGCUAGUUGGUAAGGUACCGGGUUACCAAGGCUACGAUGUUUAGGGGAUCUGAGAGGAUGACCCCCCACACUGGAACUGAGAAACAGACCCGACUCCGACGGGGGGGAGCAGUAAUGAAUAUUGGGCAAUGGGCGCAAGCCUGAACCAGCCAUGCCGCGUGCAGGAAGACGGACCUAUGGGUUGUCAACUGCUUUUGUACCGGAAUAAACCCUUUUCCGUGUAGAAGGCUGAAAGUACGGUAAGAAUAAGGAUCGGCUAACUCCGUGCCAGCCGCCGCCGUAA
rnacentral:rRNA from 1 species